AUCCAACUGACGAGUGCCAAAUAGGACGAAACGCGCGUUCUGGAU
rnacentral:hammerhead_ribozyme from 1 species